CUCUGCCUCCGCCUCAAUCUCACACACAUAGCUGGGAGUUCUUCAAAAAUGAGCUGCUAUAUUCAUUUAAAGAUGCCCCCAGGUGAGUGGGGCAAAUAUAAAGAGAAGAACUACCUCCUGGGAACUAGGCCCUUGACAAACACUAUUGCAAAUACAAUACCUCUGCAAAUGGAUCGUUAUUCCCAUUUUACAGAAACAGAAACUGAGGCUCAGAGAAUAUAACCAACUUACAUCCUAAGUCACACUCCUAAAAAGUGAUGGGAUGGGAUUUGAAGCCCAGAGCCAUAGAUCCUGAGGGCCACACUUUCCAACCGCAGUACAUGCUAUAAACUGAAUGUUGGUGUAUUCCCAAAAUUUCUAUGUUGAAGCCCCAACCCCCAUUAUGAUGGUAUUUGAAGAUGGGGCCUUUGGGAGGUAAUUAUGGUCAGAUGAGGUCAUGAGGGUGGGACCUUCAUGAUGGGAUUAGAAAGACCAGCGUUCUGAGGACAAAAUAAGAAGGUGCCUAUCUCCCUAUCAGGAAGAGAGCUCUCAACAGAAAGUGAAGCCAGCACCUGGAUCUUAGACUUGCAGCCUCCAGAAAUGUUUAAGUCCCAGCUGCUCUUUGUGGACCAGGACUGAACAUAUCUUUGUACCCUCCACCUCCAACACGAGGCCUGGAACUUGACAGGCCAAGGCUAUUAUGAGCAUGGAACUGUGUGACACUCCACCAUCUUAUCCAAGUGGACUAUGCAAGAUUUCCAUCUCCCCAUUUCCACGUGGCAAAUGUAGAGCAAGUAAGAUUUGAAGCCUCCAAUAGACUGAAAAAUGUCAACACAGAUUUCUCCCCACCAAAACCAACCAACCAACCAACCAGAGAAAUUCCACAUGUUAGAAACUCCCCAUGAGCUUGGAUCCAAAGAUUCGGUGAUAUCCAGCUGGCAGUCUAUGCCAGAUUUGUCAAAGUGAGUCCCAAGGCUCCUAAAGAAGCAUUAAUCUUCUGUCAGGAGUACCAACUCCAAUAGGGCCUCAACAAGCAAAUUAUGUUCCGGAGAUUUUAGGGCCCAAUGGUGGUAAAAUGUUUAUCACUCUAAUGGCUUUGAAGUAUAAACAGACUUCAUAUCAACACAGUGAUUCUUCUUAUACACACAUUCGGGCUUUUAAAUUGUGCUUAAGUUGGCAGGCUUAAAAGUAGAUUAGUGAGUUUCAAGAGUUAGGGUUUUCCCAGGAAAAGCACAUUUAUUGAGCCAGUUGGUCAGUCACUGAUCUAAAACAAUUGUUUUACCUUAGAAAUUUUAGACCCUGAGAUGUCUUAAGGGUGUCUGAGAUCCAGAAAUUCUCCCUUGAACACAAUCCAAGAAGGGCCAAUAAAUAAACCUGAUUCAUGGCAAGAGGCAUUACAUUCAGAAAAAGACCCACACAUCACAAUAAUCCACUCGAUUACUGGAGGCAGGAAUGUAGAUCAGGGAUGUAAACUGGCAGUGGAUUAAAAGGAAAAAAAAACCCACAAUAAUGUCUAAUAUUGAGGUAGCACAGCUCUCAAUAAUUCAAAGCACAUGCGCUUCUAUUGUGUUACCUUAACCCAGCCAGAAGCCUGUAAAGGCAGGUAUAAGGAGGGCUAGUAACCGCAUUUUAAAAAGGAAAAAAGUUUAAAGAGGUAAAUUAUUGACUUGGCCAAGGUUAUUUAGGCAAUCGAUGAAAGCCAGAUUCAUAACCCACUCUCCCACCUAAGGAAGUCAACUUGCCUAUGACAGUGACUAGUGGUAACCAAGCCAGUAAGGAAGAUUCAAAACCAGCAGCUAAAUCAAAGAUGUUAACUGGAUGUUCAAGAAUCCUCCUUGUGACUCAAGGAUCAAGGAAAGACCAAGAAAACAAGUCUCUCCCACGAGUUAAGUUCAGAACCCAAAGCUCCUUCUUUCCUCAGAAAAAAGCUACAAGCAUUUCACCUGCCUUCUGAAAGGAGGCAAGAGAGAGUCUAAGUGCUACAUCCUCUUACCUAUACCUUCUUACUUCACCCCAUGUCAGAUGCUUGGGAACCACCACAAACCAGGGAGCUGCCCUGUGAAGCUUAGCAUCUCUCUCCCUCUCUUAUCCCCAACUAUAGAGAGAAUAGCAGUAAGUCGAACAACACUCCACUUCUCCAAAAAAGUUUAUACACAUGCGUGAGCAUUCCAUACAAUGUAUGUAAUAAACUGGAAGAGCACCCAAGUAAAUAAAGAACAGAUCAAAAGGGAGGUAUGAGGCAGCCACAUUCAACUCUGCACUUGAAAAUUUAAAUGAAUACUCCUUGAGAGCAAACUACAAAAUGCUAACCUUGAAGUGCUGAGUGGCAGGAAGAAUUAUGGGUUAUUGUACUGUCAAAAUGCCAGACAGCUGUAUGUUGAGUUGCUGCGUUAUUUAGACAAUCAGAAACUUGGAAGCUAAUGUGACAUAUUUUUUUUCGGUGUGAAAGCUCUUGACAUGCAUCACGAUAAUUUCUAAAGGGACAAAAUGUUAUAUAAAAAACAUGGUGCCUUCAGGAGAUGGCCUCAUAGGUAGAACAGCCCCAGGCAGACCAGGAAGGAUGUCAACAAUGUGGACUUCCCAAGGGAGAGGACCAUUUCCUUCCAGUCUUAGUCCACAGGGGAUGGUCCCAAGCAACAUGGAGCACGCUCAUUCCAACUUCCUACUCUCUCAUCACGGAAGAAAUGCUCCUGGAUUCACCUGCCUGGCUGUAGGCUGGGCUGGGCCAGGUGAAGCCCACUAAUUGCAGGAUCAUCUCUCAGCUGGAUGAGCAAUAUGGAGAUCACAUUCAGAGGAUGCUACCAGAGAUCAUGGUACUGUGCAAACCAGGGGAAGAAAUGGGGCUAUAAUUCUACCUCUGCUCUUGCAAGUUAGUUUACCUUCCACACGUAUUCUUGAUUGGCUCGUGGACAAGUACAAAUAGAAUGAGUGGUAGCCAUUUUAAGGAAAUUCCUAGCUUUGACUCUCAGGUUGCCCUAAAGUGAGAGUGGGAGGCAGGUCAUGGUUGACUGUACCUGAAAUUCUACCUUCAGUACUUUAACUACAACUAAAAUACAAACAUUAACACAUUGAACUUCCAAGAGUCACCGCUAACUUAGGGCAUAUGGAAGUUCUGAGAAUUGGUUUUGCCGGGUGCGGGGAGGAGGAGUAUAGGAUUUAAGAUCCAGAUGAGGGACAGGGGCCUAUGGGACAGGCAGAAAGAUAAGCCAGAGAAAAUUCCAGAUAGAAAGUACCAUACUCUGUGGAUUUGCCCUCUUCUCUGCAUUUCUUCUUGAUCAAAAGGAAAACCAUCCCAUCCAGGAGAAGAGAAAGUGGCUGGAGACUGGUGGGUCAAGGGGAGUGUUCCUCUCCUAACAACCAUUUCCAGUCAGCAGGCACAGACUCUAUCCUGAGGCCAUCUCUACCAUAUGUACCAAUAGCAUGACCUUUAGCAAAUUAUUUAACCACAGUUUCCUUAAAUGCAAAGUGGGAACAACAAGAAUAACAUCCUCAAACUGAUGUUGAAAGAUUUCAUGGGCUAAUUACUUAGAGCAGUGCCAGCCAGGUGAUGAUGGUUCUACUCAAAUAUUAUCACAGCAUCCUCCUCUUAUCAUCACAGCUAACAGUUUAUACCAAAUCCCCACUGCCAGCUGCAGGAGUAGAAUCCCCCGGGAUACUUUUCCCAGGACAGCAAAGCAACUUUGAAUCACAAGAGUUUCCUGUGCUCCCUGCUAUGUGAUCCUAGACAGGAUCCUACACCCAACACUCACCCACCCCAGAAAAGGCCAGCAUACUGUGCCAUGCAGAGAAGGAAGUCCAUUGUCUAAGUGGAAAUCACCUGGAUUUAGAUGGUGCCUCCCGCCACAAGCUCCACUAAGCAUCGUAAGUAAAGACACUCUCUUCUUUU